UGCAAACAGUAUAGAGUUUCCAUUUGUAAAAAGGUACAAGUAACAGUACAAAAUUAGAAUGCUUACUACUCAUUUCAGGAAAAUUAAGUCUGACAUAGAAAU